rnacentral:rRNA from 1 species
UACAGAGGUCCCGAGCGUUGUUCGGAUUCACUGGGCGUAAAGGGUGCGCAGGUGGGUUUGCAAGUUUGAUGUGAAAGCCCGGGCUUAACCCGGGAAUGGCAUUGAAUACUGCAGAUCUGGAGGAUUGGAGGGGGGACUGGAAUUCUUGGUGUAGCAGUGAAAUGCGUAGAUAUCAAGAGGAACACCAGUGGCGAAGGCGAGUCCCUGGACAAUACCUGACACUGAGGCACGAAAGCCAAGGGAGCAAACAGG